CCAAAGUUCUGGCACUUUUCUAACUUUCUGGUGCUCUCUAUCGCAGUCCUAAUAAUGUUUUGACACACGGUUGUCUGGGAGUGUGAGACAGAUGCAACUCUGGUAUAUUUUAUCUGGAGAUUUUGCCUAAGAUCCUCCCCUUUUUAAUUUCCCUCAAGAGCUUUUGUGCAUGUCUUUAUAGGCCCAAACUUCAUAUUCAAGAUAUCACUAUCAAAAUAUAUAUAUAUCAAAAUAUUCAAUAUAUUUUAUAUUGAGUGGAAAACUAUGAGGUACAAUGUUUGGAUUUGAUGAGGAUGCUCAGAAAAAAAACCUUAUGUUGACUGGCAGCACACUGGAAAUGUAGAAGGGAUUCAGUGACCUCUAAAAGAAAUACAGUUUUAAAUCCUGCCCUGGCUUCCUCUGAAACCUGCAGUGACUUUACUUUGAACUGCAAGGGAGUGAUAUCUACUCUCAGCUGAUGUCGCAGUGCCAAUAAACAUGUUCCGUUUGGAGGAAGGGAAAGAAAGCCUGUCUUGACACUGCAAGACCUGUGUCUGCUCAACCAGACAAAGAGAAAAUAUUGUCUUCUGAGGAUUCAUCCUUUCACUGCAGUUCUUCAAAGAACUGUAGAUCUGAGAUACCCUUCAUGAGUUUGCUUAUAUCAUGAGCAAGGAAAUAGUGGAAGAGCCAUGCUUGUUUUUUCCCACACUGAAGCCAAGAAAAAAAAACUGUUUGAAGAAAAACUGAUGGUAUUUUUCUAAA